rnacentral:misc_RNA from 2 species
AAAGAUCGCAGCCUUCGGCAGCUCCUACAGAAACACGGUUAAUGCGUGCUCUGUGUAGGAGCUGCCGAAGGCUGCGAUCUUU